UCCAUCCAUGGGGAGUCAGGGUGCCCUCAAAAACAUUGCCAAUGAGGGCUCCAAUGCCGCAGGCUGAUAUGGGUGAAACUUCAGAUGGCAGAUGGCACAGGGACGGGAAAAGACCAUAUCUUUAAGAUGUGCAUCUGAAUUACCUCUGCCAGUCAACAGCAAGAAGUGAUGGGGCAGUUUUUAAUACCACUAGGCCCAUCUGGGAGAAGAACCCUUUUCAUUCGACAUACUUGGCUGCUUGUCGCCUCACCAUAAUGGGCACGUUGAACGAGCUCUGAAGCAAUAGCCAAUUAAAUGCCUUGAAGGGGAUGCCUCGAGGCCCUGCAUGAAAGGCUUCAGGUGUGAAAUGCUUGUUUUUCAAGAGUGCUGCAAAUGUUGGCUGCUUUCAAGUUUGCUAUUGCCCUGCUGGCUUCCCCUUCCAGCCCACCCCAACAGCCCUUCUCAUGUGGAGGAGGGUAGAGGGUAGAGGUGAUGGGCAAGAGAAGACCACUUAAGUACAAUUUUCUAUUCAGCGUUCCAAACCUGUGCACUCUCGUGUUUUUCACCGCUGCCUCGUAACAGAGAACAGAGUUUCAGAUGAUGCAGACAAUAGCUUUUUAGCACACAAUGGAGAGAAGAGGAGAAGCUGAAGGGCAGACAGGGGGAAAUAUGGACGAGACAGAAAGUCUGAGCGUGAAUCUAAACCAGAGGCAGUGGUGGUUGGGUGAUGGCGGGGUUGGCUGGGAGGGGGCUUAAAAGGAGAUGGAUUGUUUGCUAAUUGUGGUCAUUUCUGACCAGAACAUGACAGGUUCAAUGACUACUUUAAUGCGUUAUUGAAUACAACAGAAACUUGAAAUGCAAUUGUGAGAGAAGCUUCUGUUUUCGAAAUUUGUUUUCAGCCCCUCCACAGGAGGGAAGAAUGAUCAUUCAUAAUUCGAGUGUAAGAACAGGCUGCCUUGUCUCUGUGCAAUAAAUGGUUGUUAGCACUAA